rnacentral:rRNA from 1 species
GACGAACGCUGGCGGCGUGCUUAACACAUGCAAGUCGAACGAAGAGCGAUGGAAGCUUGCUUCUAUCAAUCUUAGUGGCAAACGGGUGAGUAACGCGUAAUCAACCUGCCCUUCAGAGGGGGACAACAGUUGGAAACGACUGCUAAUACCGCAUACGAUCUAACCUCGGCAUCGAGGAUAGAUGAAAGGUGGCCUCUACAUGUAAGCUAUCACUGAAGGAGGGGAUUGCGUCUGAUUAGCUAGUUGGAGGGGUAACGGCCCACCAAGGCGAUGAUCAGUAGCCGGUCUGAGAGGAUGAACGGCCACAUUGGGACUGAGACACGGCCCAGACUCCUACGGGAGGCAGCAGUGGGGAAUCUUCCGCAAUGGACGAAAGUCUGACGGAGCAACGCCGCGUGAGUGAGGACGGCCUUCGGGUUGUAAAGCUCUGUUAAUCGGGACGAAAGGCCUUCUUGCGAAUAGUGAGAAGGAUUGACGGUACCGGAAUAGAAAGCCACGGCUAACUACGUG